CUUAAGGACAUUACGGUAUCGAGAAAGCGUUUGGAACAAUAGUUAAGUGGCGGCAAGGUGGACUCACCUCAUAUUUUUCGUGCCGCCACGGCCAUAAAGGAAAAUGUCGCGUGGCGCCUGGAAUCUACGAUCGGGAUAAUGAUCCCGAUUGCGGCUGUAGAAGAUCCUCGAACACGGCCCACUCCCGUAAGGAUCGCCGUCCUGGUGUAGAUCCACGAAUUCGUAGAGCGCGCGAAAAUUCACUGGCCUGUGGAAUCGAGAAAAAUUUCGUCAUCGGUAUGCGUUCGAAGCUUGUUAAAGCGAAUAGCACGGCAUGUUUAUCCUUUGAGAAAAAAGUAUAACCCUUCUGCGUUCUCCACCAAGGG
rnacentral:misc_RNA from 1 species